rnacentral:Y_RNA from 1 species
GGUUGGUCCAAGUGCAGAGGUGUUUACAAUUAAUGGAUCACAACCAGUUACAGAUUCCUUUGUUCCUUCUCCACUCCCACUGCUUCGUUUGACCAGCCUUUA